AACAGGCAGCAAAGGUUACUGAAACGACAGCAGCAGCAGCAAGCGCAGCAGCCGGUGCAGCAAAGUGAAUCGUAUAAGCAAUUCUUCUAUUGUCGGCAAGAUUUUCAUUUUGCGCGAACAUUUCAAGUAUUCCAAAAAAUUCAAAAUCCAAUAGCCGGUGGCUGAACGGCAAAUCACGAUCUGGCAGGUGCGUGCAAAACAGUAAGCAAACCAAUAACAACCGUUAGUUUGAGCAACAUUACGUUUCAGCGUCGUAGCAGCCACACACACUUCCAAGUUGUCAAAAUCAUUCAUGCAAUCUUCACAAUUCUUCAAGUUUUGAGUCAUUAAACAAAAGCUCCAAACUUAAUUUGGCAACUUUUCAAAGUUUUUUUGGAAAAUUUGUUGCGCUUUAACGGCAUCUCAGUUGGCCUUCCACCAUUGUAUGCAUAUCUCGGCUGAAACGCCGAAAUUUUUCAAAACAACAACACCAACACAGCGUCAGUAUUGAAGCAUCAAUCGAGCGUAAUUCGCGUAAAGUCAUCUGAGAAUUCCAGCGUGAAGAUUUUAUCGUUGAACAGCUGUUCAGCUUAUACUUUUGCCAACAACGGCUCUAAACGGGCUGCUUGAUUAUACGAUCCACUGAGCAAUCAACAGCAAAAAGCUAAAGAGCAAACGAAAGAGAAAAAAGCAAUCAUUAAGCGAAAGUGAUAUAUCUACGAAUAUCAAAACAAUCAUAAAGCAAAUGAAGAAUUCGUGAACAUUUUUGCACAAAUACUUUUAAAAAGGCAUUACUAAUCGAUAUAUUUUCAUAUAUAUCGAUAAUUAAACAUUUCAAAAUAUUUUACGAUAUUUUCCUAGAAGUCAAACAUCUUCGGUUGUUCUUAUAUGAUUUCUUGAAACAGCCAAGCGUCAAGCGAAUAAAAAUCACUGACAUUAAAAGUUAGCAUUCCAAAUACAUACGCGAGCAAGAGCGAAGGAGAGAGUGCACAAAGGCGAGAGUAUAUAAAGGUGACAACAAAAUAGCGAACGAGUUUCCUAGUUGUGAAUUCAAAGUGAUUUAAAUUUAUAGAAAAAGCGAAGCGAAAAUUAAAAAAAACCUAUUAUUUGUUCGCCAAAAGACAAAGCGCACCAGCGAAAGCUCAAUAAAAAGCUGCCAAGCUUAAAAGCUAUAGAGUGAUUUGCGCCCAUAAAAGAAGAGUGAAAUUAUAACGGCAGUCAUUAUCAACGCAAUAGAAAAGCAAUUUAGUACGGUAUCAUUAAAACAGUAACAAUAAGAACAACAAAAAAUCUAAAAAAUUUAAAUAAUUUAAAAAUAAAAACAUUUACAUAGCAAAUAUACUACUAUCACUACUACUACUACUACUACUCUACUACUAUUUCUACUACCAAAAGUAAGCAAGCUUGCGUGCCGCCCGUAAAUAGUCGGAGCUGGCGCAGCGUUGCAUUUCAAGCGCAAGCUAUACACGAACUGACCACGUACAGUGUUUGCAGUAUUAUUACGUAAAUAUUAAAAUACCAGAAAGUAAUUAAUAAUAAAUAAUAAAAAUUUGUAACGAUUUUUUCGGUGUUUGUGUAUGUUUGUACUUUUCAUAGCGCCUAAAAAUAUACUACAAUACAUAGCAUAUUUGAACAUUAAAGAAUUUAUUCCACGAAAAGUACGCAACGAAAGCGUUGAAUGUCUCGUAAGUCAAAUAGGUGUACAAGUUUUCUAUAAAAAUACAAAAAAAAUAUUACAAAAACAAAAGGGAAAAUCAUUGUAUGGAUGUCUAAGAUUUUAAUGGCAUAAAAACGGAACUGAUUUUAUAUAUACAUAUAUAUGUAAUAACAGUUAUACUAGAAAAAAGACUAAAAUAUAUAAACAAAUACUAGAAAAUUAAAAAAAAGAAACCAUAUUUUAAACACCAAAAGUGUUGUAAACAAGAUUUUAGACGAAAGUGAAAACUUUUCGAAAACAAGCGUACUUCCAACGACUACAAAAGACGACGAAUACAGCCACGUUAUUACUGUGUGUGAGUGCGCGCAAAUAAAUCGGUUAACAUUAGCAGCUUAAAAAGGCCAAAUUUAAACUUUUUAAACGAAUAAUAUUUACAAAAAGAAGUCGUCGUGUAACGCAAACCGCCAAUGCGACAAGUGAUUAUCGCACAUUAAAUAGAAAGAAGUGAUUUCAGCGUAUGAGUGAACAUUUUUUAAUGAUUUCAAAUAUUUUAAACUUUUUCAAAAAUUACGUCAAAUUUACGCCAACAAAUAAUUGACUUCAACAAGUACGUAAAUAGACGAAAAUAAUAUUUUAAACAUAUAUGCUUUAAGCUUACUAAAAACCUAAAUGAAAACUGCAUGCAAACACGAAAAAUAAACUUACAGUGAAAUUGGCAACAUAGCAAGUGGUGUGCAAGCGCGCUAUACAAAAACGGCAACAGUGUGUAUCGAAACUUGUGAAAGGAGCCGAGGAGUAAGCUAAGUAAAGCAAGCGAUUUUGUUUGUGUGAAAAUUGGCAACGUAGAGAGAGAGUGGUGAGCAAAAUUGCAACUGGACAGCCUGUAAAGUGAUUUUAUAUACCAACUAUACAAAUAAAUGAACUUAUUUACUAAUAAAUAGCAACACAACAAAACAACUGAAGCAAAGCAGCAAAAGUGUAGCAGUCGACGUGAAAAAAUAUUGGGAUUGAUUAUUUCAACGUGAGCGCAAUCGUGCAGUUGUCAAAAAGGGAGUAGAAACUCUGUGAGUUAGCAAAAUCAAGAGAGCGGCGAAGUAAAUCGAGAUCCAAGAGAAUCUUGCAAAUCUACACCACCAAAUAAAACCAACUAUACUAAACUAAUGAGAAUAGUAGCAGAGCAAAACAAAUAUCCAUAAAAAGGAGCUAACGAAUAAUCAUAUUAAAUUUAUACAAAGAGAAUAUAAAACCAACAGUUUAUAACAACAACAAUAUAUAUAUAUAUAUAUCUAUAUAUAAAUAUAAAAA